UACGAAGGGGGCUAGCGUUGUUCGGAAUUACUGGGCGGAAAGCGCACGUAGGCGGAUAUUUAAGUCAGGGGUGAAAUCCCGGGGCUCAACCCCGGAACUGCCUUUGAUACUGGGUAUCUCGAGUCCGAGAGAGGUGAGUGGAAUUCCGAGUGUAGAGGUGAAAUUCGUAGAUAUUCGGAGGAACACCAGUGGCGAAGGCGGCUCACUGGACUGGUAUUGACGCUGAGGUGCGAAAGCGUGGGGAGCAAACAGG
rnacentral:rRNA from 1 species